rnacentral:tRNA from 1 species
ACUUGAAUAGUUUAAUUAGAAUAAUAAUUUGUGGUGUUAUAGGUGUAUAUUUUACUUCAAGUC